AGUGAACGCUGGCGGUAGGCCUAACACAUGCAAGUCGAACGGCAGCACAGUAAGGGCUUGCUCUUACGGGUGGCGAGUGGCGGACGGGUGAGGAAUACAUCGGAAUCUACUUUUUCGUGGGGGAUAACGUAGGGAAACUUACGCUAAUACCGCAUACGACCUACGGGUGAAAGCAGGGGAUCUUCGGACCUUGCGCGAUUGAAUGAGCCGAUGUCGGUUUAGCUAGUUGGCGGGGUAAAGGCCCACCAAGGCGACGAUCCGUAGCUGGUCUGAGAGGAUGAUCAGCCACACUGGAACUGAGACACGGUCCAGACUCCUACGGGAGGCAGCAGUGGGGAAUAUUGGACAAUGGGCGCAAGCCUGAUCCAGCCAUACCGCGUGGGUGAAGAAGGCCUUCGGGUUGUAAAGCCCUUUUGUUGGGAAAGAAAAGCAGCAGGUUAAUACCCCGCUGUUCUGACGGUACCCAAAGAAUAAGCACCGGCUAACUUCGUG
rnacentral:rRNA from 1 species